rnacentral:siRNA from 1 species
GUUGUUGUCGUCGACGGUACGUUU